GGUAAGAAGUCCAAAGGAGAGUUGAAUGACUUUUCACACUGACCUUCUUAAACUAAAGUAUCUCAGCCAAUGUGCCUUAACCAAAGUCUUUCAGCUAUUUUCAUUUUUUAUUUUAGUGGCCCUCACCUUGCAGUCACACCUGCAUGAGUCAGGCCUUUUAUGUAAAGCAUAUGGGGCAUGCUUCUGCACAGAUGCUGAACUGCAGAAUUGUCCUAACUCAUAUUUUAUAAUUACUCUGGUCCACAUAGUGCAUUAAAAAGGACUGUUUUUGUUGUUGUCAUCAUUGUUGUUAUUUUAAUCUAGAUAUAUGUGUCUUUAUUAGGUAACUUUAAUAUGUAGUAAAUGUAGAGGUAGACACAGUAAAAUUCAAUAAUCAACGAAAAAUAAAAAUAAAAAGCGUGAGUUUACAAUUGAAAUACAAGCCUAAACCUGGAUGUAUGGACUAUAUAAAUCUGCUUAGAAUUCAUUUCUCUGAAUGUCCUUGGGCAUGGAUGGACAGCCCCAGAAGGUAAGUUUGGACACACACACCUUCUGGAUCACCACCUCAGCUCACAAGCUCACAGGAGAAGGUGUUGCCUUUUUGUUAUGGUGCACUGUCAAAAACACAGCUCCCUAGAGUUUGGCCAGCAAACGUAGCUGCUAUGGUAAUACAGACUGUAAAUAAUGUCAGGUAAUAGUCCAGAUAUGACCAAUAAUCUAUUUUUGUUCCUAUUUUUUCAAUAGGACAACUCAGCCUGAAUAAAGGUGACAAAAUUAGAUCUGAGCUCUAACAAUGGCAUAGUAAAUGGCAUUUGUUUUAUUUGGAAGAAGAUAGACUCAACAGUGGCUACAAGCAAUGGAUAUAAGCAUAACUGUGGAUUUCUCAGAAAUUUCAUGGAUUUUCUGCUAGUGUCUCUAGAAAACAUACAAGAUGCUUAGCAAUGACAAGUUGAAAUCCUACCCUGAAUUUAGGGAAAAGAAUUCAUCUUUCAAACGAUUGUAUCUGAUGCUGGAUGUAAAAACAAGUUCUUCUAGAGGAAGGAAGAUGAAAACAAGUGGCAGGCACAAGCUAGAGGAGGCUGUUUUCUCGUUCCACUACCUUGCCAGACUACAGUUGCUUUUAUGCCACCGCCACACAAGCGCCUGUCUGAAACAACAAGAAACCUGAGGAAAGCAUGAUUCUGUGCUAAACUUGUUAGAAAAGAUUAUAAAAGAAAACAGCUACUAAUAACUAACAUCAGGUUCCCACUCAUUAUUAGCAUCACAAAUGUAAAAUGGCUGCCAAUAAGAGUCAGCUCUGAAAUCUUAUUAGAAAGAAAUGUCACACCAUAUUUCUGGUUAUAAAUGCUAUUUUGUGACCCUUGGCUAAAUGCAAUGGGCUGCUCCCCUUAACGUGUAUGUUUUUAGUGAUGAAUUUGUAUUAGCAAAAGAAUAAUAAAUAUCUGAUCACUUUCUCA
rnacentral:lncRNA from 1 species